CUGGGCAAACCUGCUGAAAAGCAGGGACGCAAAGCCAAAAGGGUCUAAGGGUAAAACUAUGACAGCCGGUUGCU
rnacentral:ncRNA from 1 species